ensembl:lncRNA
CUCCGAAGGCCAACCGCAGUGGAAGUGGUUGGGGCAUACUCAAAUGUGUUUCACCAGUCCUGAGAAAUGGCCUGUUGCUCUCAACCAUUCUGACUUUGUCUGAGGUGACAGUGUUCUCAAGUUGCAGUGUCGUAGGCAGCUAAGAGGAAGAGUUUUUAUUUCCCUGUACUUGUUCCAAAAUGUUUUCGGUAAAAACCACAGGCAGUAUAUUGUUUAUAAAAUCCUGACUUCGGUUUCCUGGCUGCCUGAGUAAACUAUUAUUAUUUUUUGCUUCCCAGAAGUGUUUCCAGCCAGGGGGCUUGUGGAGGCCAGCUGUCCUUGCGAAGUCCUGACUUAUGACUGCUCCUUGCCACAUGGGGAUCCAAGUUCUUCAUGCUUUAAUUUUGUUUUCACAAAAGACGUCCCGGCGACUACGACAGAACCACUUCUUGUGUUUGGUGGACUGGUGGAGCAGCUUGCCGAACGGAGCGGUGUGUGGGAGACUGACUAAUCUCCAGGUGGGCAGAAAGGGGGGAGAGAGGGAGGUGAGGGAUAGGGAGAGGAGAGGGAAGGAGGGGAAGGGAGAAUCACUGAGUCAUAGGAGGGACUGCCUGUUUGGUGCCAAACCUCCUUCCAGUCCAACUUAAACCCAGCGUCUCACCACUCCAUACUGGGGCUCAGGGGGGGAGGGGGGGAGAUAACAUCACUAUGGAAGACAUGAAAGCAGACUUGAAUACGUCAACAACCUUUUUAAUCUCCUCAGAAAUCGUCAUGUAAUAUAACGUGUGACGUUUAAUUAUGUGAGGAAAUGCGUGUCCACUUGGCAACAUCACGUGUUGUUGUCAUUGCUUUCCUGUAUUGUUCUUUACGGUUUUCUCAAAGGCGAUCUCAAUGGUACUCUAGUGUUCAGAGUCUUCCAAUCUCAUGCGCAAGCAUGUCACACUGCAGCUGUUUCUGAGUGCCAUGUUAACGCCCUGACCCCUGGUGCUGGCAGAGGAAACCGACACCGGUACCCUAAUUAGACACCGUGAACUAAAUGGUUGUAAGGCCUGACGUGGCUGGUUCCGCCGGCAGUGCGUUCUCCUCCGUUGUCCCAUUUUUGAGUCCUUUGAGCGGGCUCACUUUGACACCUGGCUCCGGCUGGAGCUAGCCGCUCCGGCGUGUGAUUGUCUGUAGAGGAAUGUCCAUGGGAAAACAACUGUCUCUUUGGAUACAGAGAAUAAAUAGCUUUUGAGCCUGGCCAAGAGUGUUAUGAAAACCAACUUUGCUGGUCUAAUAAGGUUACCUAUAUUGACCUCCUACACCCUGUCACCCUUUUUCUCUCAUACAUCCUCUUUCAAUUACACACAUCCUCUUUCAGAACCCCCCUGCCACAAGCACUUAUAGACACGCAGACACGCAGACCCAACACACCGGCCUACCUUGAAAGCAUCUCAUUGAGUAGCCUGUUUCAGUUCUUCCUGUGCGUUCCAAAUCUGUGCACAUCCUAGUCAAUGUUCAGGCUAUGACCUUGCAGUCGUUCUGGGCUAGUUCUGACCGACAUUCCUGUGUACGGCACGCGCUGUAAAUGGCGCACCAACAAAUCCUAGAUGCUGACUGGAUCUGAGAAACCUUGCCAUUUAGCGCUUAUUGUCUCCUUUAGCUCAGCCCUUUCAGCCUUGUAUCACAAUGUCAUUUGAAAUGUUGUUUCCGCUAUCGUUUUGAAAUGUGACAAGUUUGUAAUGGGCAGCCUGUCGUUAGAGAUGUCAUUUAUUUUGGGUGAUUGCUAAAUAUAUCCUCUUAAUAUUUUUAAAGCUGUGUGUGAAUGUUCUUAAUUCUGACUGUAGUUGUAGUGGACUACGCCACCAUUCAUAAGCUUAUUGCACUGAUGUAUCUAGAAUAUUCAAUAACUAUUGAUUGCUGCUAGGUCACACUUAUGUAUAUUACUGCCAUUCUAGCCCUUGUUUAUUUUGUAUUGUAUUGUGAUUAUUUUGUACUUUUUCACAUUCAAAUGCUGUCAUUUUAUUAUAUCUGAUGCUGGGCACGUUUUCUUGCACUAUUUGAAAAAUUUAUUUAAAUUCAUUUGCAAAUUGUUUAGAUUUUAUUCAGUUCGUUGUCAUUUGUGAUAUGACCAAAAUGAAUCUAAAGGAUCCAUCCAUCCAUCCAUCUUCUUCCGCUUAUCCGGGGCCGGGUCGCGGGGGCAGCAGUCUAAAGGAUUAUUAUAAAUAAAACCUAAUAUUGGGGCGUGAGGCAUCCCGCUGGGUUUAGUG